UACAGAGGUCUCAAGCGUUGUUCGGAUUCAUUGGGCGUAAAGGGUGCGUAGGCGGCGCGGUAAGUCGGGUGUGAAAUCUCGGAGCUUAACUCCGAAACUGCAUUCGAUACUGCCGUGCUUGAGGACUGGAGAGGAGACUGGAAUUUACGGUGUAGCGGUGAAAUGCGUAGAUAUCAGGAGGAACGCCGGAGGCGAAAGCGAGUGACUGGCGCGAUUCCGUGACGCUGAGGUGCGAAAGCUAGGGGAGCAAACAGGAUUGAGAA
rnacentral:rRNA from 1 species